rnacentral:rRNA from 1 species
UACGUAGGGACCAAGCGUUGUUCGGAUUUACUGGGCGUAAAGGGCGCGUAGGCGGCGCGGUAAGUCACUUGUGAAAUCUCUGAGCUUAACUCAGAACGGCCAAGUGAUACUGCAGUGCUAGAGUGUGGAAGGGGCAAUCGGAAUUCUUGGUGUAGCGGUGAAAUGCGUAGAUAUCAAGAGGAACACCUGAGGUGAAGACGGGUUGCUGGGCCGACACUGACGCUGAUGCGCGAAAGCCAGGGGAGCAAACGGG